GCCCCCUUAGCUCAGCAGGAUAGAGCACAGGUUUCCUAAACCUGGGGCCAGAGGUUCGAAUCCUCUAGGGGGCA
rnacentral:tRNA from 1 species